AAUGAAUUUGGGGUCCCUGGGAUGGAUUUGGGGUCCCCAGAAUGGAUUUGGGGGUUCCCCCCUUUUUUGGGAACCUGUGGGAUUUCCCAAAGGAAUCCACCAUAAAAGGGGAUCAGGAAUUUUUUUGGGACAUCCCAAAAUUUUUUUUUGGGGGGGGGGAUCCCAAAGUUUUUUGGGGUCUCAGAGAUUUUGGGGGGGGAUCUGGGAAUUUUGGGGA
rnacentral:lncRNA from 1 species